GCGCAGGAAAAGAAACCAACAGGGAUUACGUCAGUAACGGCGAGUGAAGCGGUAACAGCUCAAAUUUGAAAUCUGGCCUCACGGUCCGAAUUGUAAUUUGUAGAGGAUGUUUCGAGCAUGGUCUGGCCUAAGUUCCUUGGAACAGGACGUCAUAGAGGGUGAGAAUCCCGUAUGCGGUCAGGUGCCUACGCUCAUGUGAAACUCCUUCGACGAGUCGAGUUGUUUGGGAAUGCAGCUCAAAAUGGGUGGUAAAUUUCAUCUAAAGCUAAAUAUUGGCCAGAGACCGAUAGCGCACAAGUAGAGUGAUCGAAAGAUGAAAAGCACUUUGGAAAGAGAGUUAAACAGUACGUGAAAUUGUUGAAAGGGAAGCGCUUGCAACCAGACUUGCACGCAGCUAAUCAUCCGGUGUUCUCACCGGUGCACUUGGUUGCGUUCAGGCCAGCAUCGGUUUCGGCGGUGGGAUAAAGGCCUUAGGAAUGUAGCUGCUCUCGGGCAGUGUUAUAGCCUAGGGUGCAAUGCCGCCUGCUGGGACCGAGGACCGCGCUUCGGCUAGGAUGCUGGCGUAAUGGUUGUAAGCGGCCCGUCUUGAAACACGGACCAAGGAGUCUAACAUCUAUGCGAGUGUUUGGGUGUCAAACACAUACGCGUAAUGAAAGUGAACGGAGGUGAGAACCCUUAAGGGUGCAUCAUCGACCGAUCCUGAUGUUCUCGGAUGGAUUUGA
rnacentral:rRNA from 1 species